rnacentral:snRNA from 1 species
AAACUCGGUUGUCUCCUCAUUUCUGGACAAAUCUUUCGCCUAUUAUUAAAGAUUUCUGUGAGGAGGCACAGUUUUGGCUGAGUCGGUGGCA